AUGAUCUAAAUUAUCAUAGCAAGACUGCUACAAUGUUUAUCUUCUACUGAUAAAAGAAUUAUCAUGAGCAUUUGAAGAUGGGUAUUUCUUUUGAUCAUUUGCUCAAAUGAACCAGGAAUCCACAACUUUGGCCCUGCAAGGGGCUAAUUAGUAUCAAUAAGACGGACAAAUAUGCCCAGAAGUUCAAUGUGAGAAUGGCUGAUGAACACCGCCUGCCUUUCAAGAGUUUAUAUGAGGAGCUAUUUCCUCCUCCCCGUGCUCCCCUUGCAGGUAAUAGAGAACUCUGGAUUCAACUUGCAAGAUACAGCUUGUCUCAAAUGCUAGACUAAACAUUUAAAAAUAAAGGUAAAUCCUUUCUGAGCAGAAACAGUCUCAAGACAAAGAAGUUUGCAAGGAUGGUUUACACAUAGGUACUGUUUGAUCGACAAAAUAAAUGCUUUCCUUGAACUGUG